AAGACCUCGCGCUAUUAGAGCGGCCGAUGCCCGAUUAGCUAGUUGGUGAGGUAAUGGCCCACCAAGGCAACGAUCGGUAGCUGGUCUGAGAGGAUGAUCAGCCACACUGGGACUGAGACACGGCCCAGACUCCUACGGGAGGCAGCAGUGGGGAAUUUUGGACAAUGGGCGAAAGCCUGAUCCAGCCAUGCCGCGUGAGUGAAGAAGGCCUUCGGGUUGUAAAGCUCUUUCAGCCGGAACGAAAUCGUCCGGGCUAAUACUCCGGAUGGAUGACGGUACUGGAAGAAGAAGCACCGGCUAACUACGUGCCAGCAGCCGCGGUAAUACGUAGGGUGCAGGCGUUAAUCGGAAUUACUGGGCGUAAAGCGUGCGCAGGCGGCUUUCCAAGUCAGAUGUGAAAUCCCCGGGCUUAACCUGGGAACU
rnacentral:rRNA from 1 species